rnacentral:rRNA from 1 species
GAUGAACGCUGGCGGCGUGCCUAAUACAUGCAAGUCGAGCGAACGGACGCGAAGCUUGCUUCUCUGUUGUUAGCGGAGGACGGGUGAGUAACACGUGGAUAACCUACCUAUCAGACUGGGAUAACUUCGGGAAACCGGAGCUAAUACCGGAUGAUAUUUUGAACCGCAUGGUUCAAAAGUGAAAGACGGUCUUGCUGUCACUUCUAGCUGGAUCCGCGCUGCAUUAGCUAGUUGGUAAGGUAACGGCUUACCACGGCAACGAUGCAUAGCCGACCUGUGAGGGUGAUCGGCCACACUGGAGCUGAGACACGGUCCAGACUCCUGCGGUAGGCAGCAGUAGGGAAUCGUCCGCAAUAGGCGAAAGCCUGACGGAGCAACGCCGCGUGAGUGAUGAAGGUCUUCGGAGCGUAAUACUCUGUUAUUAGGGAAGAACAUAUGUGUAAGUAACUGUGCACAUCUUGACGGUACCUAAUCAGAAAGCCACGGCUAACUACGUG